rnacentral:rRNA from 1 species
GACGAACGCUGGCGGCGUGCUUAACACAUGCAAGUCGAACGGUAAGGCCCUUCGGGGUACACGAGUGGCGAACGGGUGAGUAACACGUGGGUGAUCUGCCCUGCACUUCGGGAUAAGCCUGGGAAACUGGGUCUAAUACCGGAUAGGACCACUGCCUACAUGGGUGGUGGUGGAAAGCUUUUGCGGUGUGGGAUGGGCCCGCGGCCUAUCAGCUUGUUGGUGGGGUGAUGGCCUACCAAGGCGACGACGGGUAGCCGGCCUGGGAGGGUGACCGGCCACACUGGGACUGAGAUACGGCGCAGACUCCUACGGGAGGCAGCAGUGGGGAAUAUUGCACAAUGGGCGCAAGCCUGAUGCAGCGACGCCGCGUGAGGGAUGACGGCCUUCGGGUUGUAAACCUCUUUCAGCACCGACGAAGCGCAAGUGACGGUAGGUGCAGAAGAAGGACCGGCCAACUACGUGCCAGCCGCCGCCGUAA